rnacentral:rRNA from 1 species
CCUCCAGGNGCAUGAAAAGUGAAGGAGAUCCCGCCUCGUGCGGACCGAGGGAAGAUGGGCCGCGCUGCUGUGCGGCUCCKCAUUCCCGGGGCGUCUCGUUCUCAUUGCGAGUUGAGGCGCACCCAGAGCGUACACGUUGGGACCCGAAAGAUGGUGAACUAUGCCUGGCCAGGACGAAGUCAGGGGAAACCCUGAUGGAGGUCCGUAGCGAUUCUGACGUGCAAAUCGAUCGUCGGAGCUGGGUAUAGGGGCGAAAGACUAAUCGAACCAUCUAGUAGCUGGUUCCCUCCGAAGUUUCCCUCAGGAUAGCUGGUGCUCGAACGAGUCUCAUCCGGUCAAGCGAAUGAUUAGAGGCCUUGGGGCCGAAACGACCUCAACCUAUUCUCAAACUUUAAAUGGGUGAGAUCUCCGGCUUGCUUAAAACAUUUUUGAAGCCGCGAGAUUA